rnacentral:lncRNA from 1 species
AACGAUAUCCAAACUAAACUCAUUAACAAUCAUACACCAAAACUGAAUUCAAGCAUUCGACACUAGAUUACUAAACAAAAUAGCCCUUAAACUCGACGUUUGGUCACUUACCUAAAAAAUUAGCAAUCCUUCAACACCUAAUUCUCCGGAGGAUGGUUGAGCGUCUCGCGAACCUCACCUAACCUAAUCAAAAUCAACAUGAUGAAUCCAUCAAACCUCCAC